UACGUAGGUGGCAAGCGUUGUCCGGAUUUACUGGGCGUAAAGAGCGCGCAGGCGGUCGUUCAAGUCGCGUGUGAAAGCCCCCCGGCUCAACUGGGGAGGGUCACGCGAUACUGAUCGACUCGAAGGCAGGAGAGGGAAGUGGAAUUCCCGGUGUAGUGGUGAAAUGCGUAGAUAUCGGGAGGAACACCAGUGGCGAAGGCGACUCUUUGGCCUGUAACUGACGCUGAGGCGCGAAAGCGUGGGGAGCAAACAGG
rnacentral:rRNA from 1 species